AUUGAACGCUGGCGGCAGGCCUAACACAUGCAAGUCGAACGAGUGGCGGACGGGUGAGUAAUGUCUGGGAAACUGCCCGAUGGAGGGGGAUAACUACUGGAAACGGUAGCUAAUACCGCAUACCAUCGGAUGUGCCCAGAGGGGAGUAGCUUGUAGGUGAGGUAACGGCUCACCUAGGCGACGAUCCCUAGCUGGUCUGAGAGGAUGACCAGUUACACUGGAACUGAGACACGGUCCAGACGCCUACGUGAGGCAGCAGUGGGGAAUAUGGCACAAUGGGCGCAAGCCUGAUGCAGCCAUGCCGCGUGUAUGAAGAAGGCCUUCGGAUUGUAAAUUACUUUCAGCAGGGAGGCGGUACCCGCAGAAGAAGCACCGGCUAACUACGUGCCAGCAGCCGCGGUAAUAC
rnacentral:rRNA from 1 species